AAAAACAGAAGGUUUCAAAAAAACAUGCGGAUGUUCUGAAAAUAAAAAAAAAGAAAAUGAAAAUGGAAAAAAAGAUGGAAAUUGUUGUGGUGGUGGAAAAGUCAAAGGGGGCACUGGUGGCUGUGGCUGUUCAAAAAAUCAGGGAAAAUAAAAAUUCUGAACAAUAUUAUGAAAAAACUAUGAAUCAGCAAAUAAAAAAAAAGAUAAUUUUUUAAAAAAAUAAAUUUUAAUUAAUAUCUAUUUAUAAAUUUUUAUCAAACAAUAAUAAAUAUAUAUAAAAAUUGUUUUCAAA